rnacentral:ribozyme from 1 species
UUUUUUUUUUUUUUUUUUUUUUUUUUCCGUGUUUUUUUUUUUUUCA